rnacentral:rRNA from 1 species
UGCCAGCCGCCGCGGUAAUACGAAGGGGGCAAGCGUUGUUCGGAAUUACUGGGCGUAAAGAGUACGUAGGCGGCUUAACAAGUCAGAUGUGAAAGCCCAAGGCUCAACCUUGGAACUGCAUUUGAUACUGUUUCGCUUGAGUGUUAGAGAGGUAAGCAGAAUUCCCAGUGUAGAGGUGAAAUUCGUAGAUAUUGGGAGGAAUACCGGUUGCGAAGGCGGCUUACUGGCUAACAACUGACGCUGAGGUGCGAAAGCGUGGGGAGCAAACAGGAUUAGAUA